rnacentral:rRNA from 1 species
UACAGAGACGGCAAGCGUUAUUCGGAUUCACUGGGCGUAAAGGGUGCGCAGGCGGCCGAGUGUGUGAGGCGUGAAAGCCCGGGGCUUAACCCCGGAAUUGCACCUCAAACUACACGGCUAGAGCAUUGGAGAGGGUAGCAGAAUUCAUGGUGUAGCAGUGAAAUGCGUAGAUAUCAUGAGGAAUACCAGAGGCGAAGGCGGCUACCUGGACAAUUGCUGACGCUCAGGCACGAAAGCGUGGGGAGCAAAAGGG